GACGAACGCUGGCGGCGUGCUUAACACAUGCAAGUCGAGCGGUAAGGCCCUUUCGAGGGUACACGAGCGGCGAACGGGUGAGUAACACGUGGGUGACCUGCCCUCAGCUCUGGGAUAAGCCUGGGAAACCGGGUCUAAUACCGGAUAUGACUCCAUGACGCAUGUUGUGGGGUGGAAAGCCUUGUGCGGCUGAGGAUGGGCCCGCGGCCUAUCAGCUUGUUGGGGGGUGAUGGCCUACCAAGGCGACGACGGGUAGCCGGCCUGAGAGGGCGACCGGCCACACUGGGACUGAGACACGGCCCAGACUCCUACGGGAGGCAGCAGUGGGGAAUCUUGCGCAAUGGGACGAAAGCCUGACGCAGCGACGCCGCGUGAGGGAUGACGG
rnacentral:rRNA from 1 species